rnacentral:lncRNA from 1 species
CACUUCUAGCAUGUCUCCCCACUCCUUCCCCUCUUCCUGCUCUUCCAACACCUAUCCACACACUCUCCUUGUUUUCUACCUCAGGUUUGCCAAUUCCCCAUCAAACACUGACUCUCGCCUGAUCAGCCCACUCCGCUGCUCCCUGUGCCUGCUCCCCACGGAGCCACUGCCUGUCGGCCUCACCUUCUCCCACUGCCCUGGUGGCCUCUUGGCGGUCCUGCUUCCGCAACAAGGAGCUUACGUUCCCCGGUAAUUUUUGCAUCUUAACACAACCUUCAGGUACAGACACAGAAAGGGCAAGUCAGGAGAGUUGUCAUGUCCAGUGGAGGAACUUGAGCAGAAUGACCGGGCAACCACCAACACAACCCAUCUGCCCUGUUCCAACCAGGAACGUGGCUGUGACAUUUCACCCUCUAUGGGAAGGGAUGUCAUAGUGACCUUCCCCAGGCAUUCCAUAACAGCCAAGGACACUGCUCAAAGUCCACACUGUGUACAGACAUGAGAAGACACAGAUGGUCUGGUUGCUUAAUUACUCUCCCCUAUUUAUAAAUGGUCUUUUCCAUGGCUGUUUCAGAUCCACACCUUGACAAAUACCUUUUCUCUCCAAAUUAAUGGGAACUUUUUAUUUAGCAAAGUGCUACCCAGUGUGUCUCAGUAUGCUAGGCAGCAGCACACCCAUUACCCUCUGCUUACUGCACACCCCUGGGGUGGCAGAGCUGCACCUCAGGGCACGGGCACCCACACAGCACCUUUGGGCUCCAGCUGGGAGCACCAGAAUGUCUUUACUUUCCCCCACACCCGUAUCUGCAGUCCAGCUGGAUACCAGCUGGAUUAUCCUGCCCUCUCAACCUACACACCUGGUGAGAUCUCAGUGCCUAAUUGAUGUGUUCCUCCCCAAAGACUAAAACAAUAAAAAUAAAUAAUACAACUCGCUUUCA